rnacentral:rRNA from 1 species
UACGAAGGGUGCUAGCGUUGUUCGGAAUCACUGGGCGUAAAGCGCGCGUAGGCGGCUAUUCAAGUCAGGGGUGAAAUCCUUGGGCUCAACCCAAGAAUUGCCUUUGAAACUGUAUAGCUAGAGUGUCGGAGGGGAUAGCGGAAUUGCUAAUGUAGAGGUGAAAUUCGUAGAUAUUAGCAGGAACACCGGUGGCGAAGGCGGCUAUCUGGACGACAACUGACGCUGAGGCGCGAAAGCGUGGGGAUCAAACAGG